AAAUCCGUUGGUUUUAUAAACCUUGAGGGUUCAAGUCCCUCUAUCCCC
rnacentral:tRNA from 1 species